CAGCAGCCGCGGGAAUACGAAGGGUGCAAGCGUUAAUCGGAAUUACUGGGCGUAAAGCGUGCGUAGGCGGUGAGUUAAGUCUGCUGUGAAAUCCCCGGGCUCAACCUGGGAAUGGCAGUGGAUACUGGCUCGCUAGAGUGUGUCAGAGGAUGGUGGAAUUCCCGGUGUAGCGGUGAAAUGCGUAGAGACCGGGAGGAACAUCAGUGGCGAAGGCGGCCAUCUGGGACAACACUGACGCUGAGGCACGAAAGCGUGGGGAGCAAACAGGAUUAGAUACCCCUGUAGUCCCUGUCUCUUAUAC
rnacentral:rRNA from 1 species